CAACAAACAGAGCAGGGAAAAACAGCACCCCGAAGACAGCAUUCAGGACCCAGCCCUUUAGACAAAAGGGAUCAGAUCAGGUCUACUAGAUGGCCUCAUUCAGUCAGACACACCCAGUUAAGCAGCCCUGGAAAGGGACUCUAGAGAAUGCUAGAAGUACUGUGAAGCUCGCAGAUGGCCUUGUGGACUUUAGCACUUCAGGUGAGAAGACAACAGUCUCCCAGCAAAAUGUUGCAAGCAGCACAGGCUCAGGAAUGGACAGACUGGCAGGCAAGACACAGCAAGAAGGCAGCAGUCUGCACACCAGGAGGAGAGUCCUCACCACAACUCAGCCCUGCCACACCCUGAUCCUGGACUUUCAGCCUCCAGAGCUGUGAGAAAUAAAUGCCUGCUGUU
rnacentral:lncRNA from 1 species